rnacentral:rRNA from 1 species
UACAGAGGUCUCAAGCGUUGUUCGGAUUCAUUGGGCGUAAAGGGUGCGUAGGCGGCGCGGUAAGUCGGGUGUGAAAUCUCGGAGCUUAACUCCGAAACUGCAUUCGAUACUGCCGUGCUUGAGGACUGGAGAGGAGACUGGAAUUUACGGUGUAGCGGUGAAAUGCGUAGAUAUCGUAAGGAAGACCAGUGGCGAAGGCGGGUCUCGUGGACAGUU